ACCCAGCUGACAAGUUCCAAAUAAGACGAAACGAGCUUCCUGGAU
rnacentral:hammerhead_ribozyme from 1 species